rnacentral:rRNA from 1 species
GACGAACGCUGGCGGCAUGCCUAACACAUGCAAGUCGAACGGAGAAAAGGAAGCUUGCUUUUCUUUUCUUAGUGGCGGACGGGUGAGUAACGCGUGAGUAACCUGCCUUUCAGAGGGGGAUAACGUUCUGAAAAGAACGCUAAUACCGCAUGAGACUACAGAGCUGCAUGGCUCAGUGGUCAAAGGAGCAAUCCGCUGAAAGAUGGACUCGCGUCCGAUUAGAUAGUUGGCGGGGUAACGGCCCACCAAGUCGACGAUCGGUAGCCGGACUGAGAGGUUGAACGGCCACAUUGGGACUGAGACACGGCCCAGACUCCUACGGGAGGCAGCAGUGAGGGAUAUUGGGCAAGUGGGGGAAACCCUGACCCAGCAACGCCGCGUGAAGG